rnacentral:rRNA from 1 species
UACAGAGGUCCCAAGCGUUGUUCGGAUUUACUGGGCGUAAAGGGUGCGUAGGUGGUGAGGUAAGUCUGAUGUGAAAUCUCCGAGCUCAACUCGGAAAUGGCAUUGGAAACUACCUUGCUAGAGGGUUGGAGGGGGGACUGGAAUACUUGGUGUAGCAGUGAAAUGCGUAGAUAUCAAGUGGAACACCAGUGGCGAAGGCGAGUCCCUGGACAACUCCUGACACUGAGGCACAAAAGCUAGGGGAGCAAACAGG